UAUGACUUCAGUCCCUUUCAGAAGGAAACAAAUGUAUUUCUUUAAAAUAGGCAUCUUUGAAUCAGAAGAAAUUAACCCAUUUUAUGUGUAAGUGGACACAAAGACCAUGAUUUCUUUGCCCAGUAUGUAACAUUUAUUAAGAAAUUACAGAAGAUACUGAAUCACAGAUAUAAUUGAAAUAGCCAACAGGCAAAGGGGAGGAUGGAAUCAGAUGCUGAAAUAUGGAAAAGUCUCGUCUCCUUCUUAGAAGCUGAACAUUGGGUGAAGAGCUUCUAUUCUCAUCAGUGACAUCUGAAGAUGUCACUUAGCUAUACUCUGGUGCCUUUGAUGUUGCAAAAAUUUGGGGACAAACAGAAGCUAGAAAUAGAUCAUAAAGCAGGAGAAAUAGGCUUGUGGACAGUUCAAAAGGAUGAAUUCCACAAUAUGUCAGCAAUAUUCAACCUUGCAUGAAAAUGAGAAAUAGUAUAACCAAAGCAAUUUGAUGAUGAGCAGGUGGUAUGCCGCGUCUGCCGUGGAAAGUCAAGAUAUUCAUUGUAGAAUGAAAUCAGAUAGAAUUCAUAUACUUGGUAGUGCCCGUAACAAAAACCCAAAUGGGAGACUAAGAACUUGUUAGUUGUCCAUGGAUGGUUGAGGCGAUAAAUUGUUCAGAGAUACUGUGUCCUGGGAAAUUUUAAAUGAGCAAUGUGGCUUUUAGCAGGUGGGCUCACAGAUGGGCUCAAUGCAGGUGGGCUGGCAGCAGCAGGCUGGGCGGCAGCAGGACUGUCCACAGUAGGAUGGGCGGCAGCAGGAGGCCUGGGCAUAGUACAGCUGGCAGCAGGAGGGGGGUGUGCAGCUCACCACACAGCAGGGAGGCAGGCUGGUGCCCUCCACACGGCAGUCAGGGCGGCACCACCUGGUGCGGCUGCUCACAGCUCCGCUGCUACCCACCUGGCCAUAGCCAAUGCUGCCACCAAUGCCACAGCCGGUCUCACAGCCACUGGUCUGGAGGCAGGUUGGCUGGCAGCAGCUGGUCUGACUGCAGGUUGAUCGGCAGCAGCUGGAGCCACAGGUCCCAGCAGUGGAACAGAUGGGAAAGCCACAGAAGCUAGUAGAACAGCAGGCCAUGGUGUCAGGGGUUAGGCUGAGAGCUGGGAUGCUUGGAGAAGUUUCUGAGUUUGGUCUGCUUGUUCCACUCAGGCCUUUUAUAGAGUUUUGCCACUUCCUGUUUUUGUGAUGGACAGCAUUUUUAUCUUAUUACUCUUUCAAACAAUCUUUUCCAGGGCCCUCUGAUUGUGGAAAUAAUGAGUUAUUUUAAAUAUAUCUCCAAAAUGGAUUUUCCUUAUUGCUCAGCUAAUACUCACCAAACGUGUUUGUCUUUGGUAAAAAUACUGAUGUUUUGUUUUCAAAUAAUGCUGUAAUUUCUCUUCAAGUCUCAGCCUUUGUUUUAUGCUUAUGAUUACAUCACUGUCACUCAUAAGACAAUGUGACUAUGGGAUCAUAUUUUCCAAACCUUCAGUCUCCAGAAUAAAAUUAUUAACCAUUGAUUGUCCUGUGUCUAA
rnacentral:lncRNA from 1 species